rnacentral:rRNA from 1 species
UACGGGGGGGGCAAGCGUUGUUCGGAAUUACUGGGCGUAAAGGGCUCGUAGGUGGCCAACUAAGUCAGACGUGAAAUCCCUCGGCUUAACCGGGGAACUGCGUCUGAUACUGGAUGGCUUGAGUUCGGGAGAGGGAUGCGGAAUUCCAGGUGUAGCGGUGAAAUGCGUAGAUAUCUGGAGGAACACCGGUGGCGAAGGCGGCAUCCUGGACCGACACUGACACUGAGGAGCGAAAGCGCGGGGAGCGAACGGG